UCCAAUGUGGUGUAGUGGCUAACAUUGCUGUCUUUCAUCGCCCGUCAUGACAUCUCCCACAGCAGCCCGGGGUUCGAUUCCCCGCAUUGGAA